UACGUAGGGUGCGAGCGUUAAUCGGAAUUACUGGGCGUAAAGCGUGCGCAGGCGGUUCGUUAAGUCAGAUGUGAAAGCCCCGAGCUCAACUUGGGAACUGCAUUUGAAACUGGCGGGCUGGAGUGUGGCAGAGGGGGGUGGAAUUCCACGUGUAGCAGUGAAAUGCGUAGAUAUUGGGAGGAACACCAGUGGCGAAGGCGGCUCACUGGACUGGUACUGACGCUGAGGCGCGAAAGCGUGGGGAGCAAACGGG
rnacentral:rRNA from 1 species